AUGGUUGUUUCCCUUGCGGGGAGGCGUUCUGAUGAGCUCGUCAGCGAAAUCUCUCAUGUCUGGGGAACUGCAGCUCAGAUUUUAGGCAUCAUGGUCUCAGAGGGUAUGAUUGACAAAGCCAAGUUUGAUUCUUUGUACAUACCGGUAUAUGGACCUUCCCUUAAGGAGCUGAGAGAGAUCAUCCAAGAAGAGGGCUCCUUCUCAAUCACAGAAAUGCGGGUGCACGAACCUGCAAGCGGCAUGGAUAGUGCGCUCCUCACCCCAAACAGGAUAGCAAAUUGUAUGAGAGCUGCAUUCGAGCCAAUAAUAGUCCAGCAUUUUGGGUCGUCCGGAUAG
rnacentral:rRNA from 1 species